CUGAAAGUACUAUAGCGCUGCUGAAAUUACUGUAGCAUAUAAAUACCAAAAUUUUACUCUGAUUUUCUUUUCCACUCCUCACCGUACCCUAGCUAAGCCUCUGAAGUGGAGAGUUCCACGCCCAUCCGAGAUUGAUGAAGGAAGACCUACAUCGGUCCGACGCCGGCGAAGAGCCCAGGUGAGAAAUCCAUCUAUCGGAAGACAACACUAGUCCGACGCCGGCAUCUUCUCUUCCUUCCAGAAACCCAUUUCCCCCUUUUCCCUCCGUCCCUCGAGCUCCGACCCAUGACACAUCUCUUCCCAUAAAUAUAUGGGAAUGUAAAUUUUUCGAUUAGCAAGAUUUUUGGUUUUAUCUGCAAAUGGAUGUCAUAUUACCCAGUACUGAAGUGCCCAUAAUUUAAUUGUUUCAGUUAACCAUUGAAAGUGUUCAGAAGGCUGGCAAUGGUUGCUCA